GAUGAACGCUGGCGGCGUGCCUAAUACAUGCAAGUCGAGCGAACAGACGAGGAGCUUGCUCCUCUGACGUUAGCGGCGGACGGGUGAGUAACACGUGGAUAACCUACCUAUAAGACUGGGAUAACUUCGGGAAACCGGAGCUAAUACCGGAUAAUAUAUUGAACCGCAUGGUUCAAUAGUGAAAGACGGUUUUGCUGUCACUUAUAGAUGGAUCCGCGCCGCAUUAGCUAGUUGGUAAGGUAACGGCUUACCAAGGCAACGAUGCGUAGCCGACCUGAGAGGGUGAUCGGCCACACUGGAACUGAGACACGGUCCAGACUCCUACGGGAGGCAGCAGUAGGGAAUCUUCCGCAAUGGGCGCAAGCCUGACGGAGCAACGCCGCGUGAGUGAUGAAGGUCUUCGGAUCGUAAAACUCUGUUAUUAGGGAAGAACAACUGUGUAAGUAACUAUGCACGUCUUGACGGUACCUAAUCAGAAAGCAACGGCUAACUACGUG
rnacentral:rRNA from 1 species